GACGAACGCUGGCGGCGUGCCUAAUACAUGCAAGUUGAGCACUGAAGGUUGGUACUUGUACCAACUGGAUGAGCAGCGAACGGGUGAGUAACGCGUGGGGAAUCUGCCUUUGAGCGGGGGACAACAUUUGGAAACGAAUGCUAAUACCGCAUAAAAACUUUAAACACAAGUUUUAAGUUUGAAAGAUGCAAUUGCAUCACUCAAAGAUGAUCCCGCGUUGUAUUAGCUAGUUGGUGAGGUAAAGGCUCACCAAGGCGAUGAUACAUAGCCGACCUGAGAGGGUGAUCGGCCACAUUGGGACUGAGACACGGCCCAAACUCCUACGGGAGGCAGCAGUAGGGAAUCUUCGGCAAUGGACGAAAGUCUGACCGAGCAACGCCGCGUGAGUGAAGAAGGUUGUCGGAUCGUAAAACUCUGUUGGUAGAGAAGAACGUUGGUGAGAGUGGAAAGCUCAUCAAGUGACGGUAACUACCCAGAAAGGGACGGCUAACUACGUG
rnacentral:rRNA from 1 species